rnacentral:misc_RNA from 1 species
UCCGGUUUGUCACCGGCAGUCUCCCUAGAGUUCUCAGCCGAACUGCUAGCAACUAGGGAUAGGGGUUGCGCUCGUUACGGGACUUAACCCAACAUCUCACGACACGAGCUGACGACGGCCAUGCAGCACCUGUCUUACAGUUCCCGAAGGCACCAAUCCAUCUCUGGAAAGUUCUGUAGAUGUCAAGGCCAGGUAAGGUUCUUCGCGUUGCGUCGAAUUAAACCACAUGCUCCACCGCUUGUGCGGGCCCCCGUCAAUUCAUUUGAGUUUUAACCUUGCGGCCGUACUCCCCAGGCGGUCAACUUAGUGCGUUAGCUGCGCCACUAAGGAUUCAAGAUCCCCAACGGCUAGUUGACAUCGUUUACGGCGUGGACUAC